CGUAGCUGAGGGCCACAGCUCUGCUGCCGUUUGUCUCCCGUCCAGGGAGCCCUGCGCCAGGCUUUGCACUUCUUGCACAUGCACUUCUCUCACCGAAGGUUUUGCUCUCUCGGUUUUGUUCCCUGACGUGCAAACAUAGGUGGAAGGAUCAGAAUUUUGGGUGGCAGAACGGAGAAGCUGGCUGCACGCAAAGUCCUGUCAGAAUGUUUUGACACAAGUGAAAAGACUUUUACCAGUAAAUAUCGGUUUAUUCCUGAAACCAGAAGCCCUAAACAUACCUUUGUUUAUAAGGUCAGUUGUCAUUUUGUCUCUCUCGUUCCCCACUCCCCCCAGUACAAACUGGCAGGUGAUUGAAAGGUACCAAGCUUUCUUUCUAGUUUUCCUGCUCUGCAACUCUGGAAAUGGAGCCCGCAGGACCUAGAGCCUUCUCUUGGUAACGUAGACUGAAGUUUACAAAUUAUUAUUUAACACUUUAAAGUCUGCUUUUAAGGACAGCAGUGUUCCCGUCUGCCUGGUACGGGGCUGGUAGGAAUUCCUGCAGGUGCAUGACGUAGUUCACCUUCCCAGAGCCUGUGGGCAGGUGUCUCAAAAAGCAUCUUCAGGUUUGGGCUUGGAAAGUAAUUUCUCCAAAAGUAGAUGCUGCAAAAUGGCAUUUUGGUUUUACAGUGAAGAGGAUGGGGGGAGCGAAGGGUGGGAACUGAGUAUGGAUAUGUCUUUUUCUGAUUUUUUUUUUUUAAUUUUUCUCUAUAUUCUGCUAGAAAGCAAGGCUUCUGUUUUGGAAAAGAAGCAUAAAGUGGGGAGGAGGGAGAGAAUUUGAGCAUUGCCCAUCCUAAAAUAGUUUUAAACACUUUCUCCGAGGCUGAUGGAAAAGGCAGGUGAAAGGUCUGAUCCUUAAAAGGACAUUGCUAGGUAUUUGGGACUCCAAAAGCAGCUGGUGCUUCUUAAUGACUGCAAUUGAUUUAGGUAAUUUUCAAAAUUUGGUCUAUACUAAGACAAAUCAGCUUGGGAGAGUUGAAGACUCCCUUUUUUUCCUAAGAGUUUGCAACCCAAAUGCUGCAGUACUGUGCUAAUACUUGUGAAACAGCAAAGCUGGUGAGGAAUAGAAAAUGAGUUGACUACAUGGUCCCAGCCAAUUUUUUUUUCUUUUGAAAGAACAAAAUGAAAAAAUCAUAAUCAAAACCACUCCAAGCCAAAAAAUGCAACCUCCAUAGAGCAAGCAGAACAGCAUCUCAAGUGAUUUGAUUUGGUUUUGUCAUGCAUGGUUGGCAAGAGCAUUUCUGGUAUAGCUGCAACCUAACUAUGUCCCUUUAAGACUAACUUCAUCUCAAUGAAACAAAAGACAAGGUUUUGCACUAUAGAGCAGAUCAAAGCUCCUGCAGCCUUAGUUGGAGUCCAUAAUGACGGGAGUCUUCCAGCUGUACACUCUGAGCUGAAAACUACCUUUCCUCCCCUUUUGCAGCCUGUGUGGUUCUGAUUGCUGGCAGUUCUCUAAUACAGCUUUAAUCUGAGCAGUUGAGGCUGGUCCCACCUUACCUUCAGACGUCUUGCGGAGGACUCCUGUUACCAGUUUGGUACUCAAAAGCUACACCCCACCAUGAGAAGUCAAUUAUUUUUUAAAAGGCAGUGAUAGAUUACUGUCUCUAGUUCUAAUGGAAAAAUUAUAUUGCAAUGCAACUUUAUAAUAAAUUGUUCAUAUAUUCAUAAUUCCGUGGCAAUCCCAAAUCGGAGGACG
rnacentral:lncRNA from 1 species